GGCGAUCUAAGGCUUCCUGGACAAUGCUCUCGGAACCAGCAUCAAGAGCACUGGUGGCCUCGUCAAGCAGGAGGAUCUUUGGGUUCUUUAACAUAGCUCUUGCAAUUGCAAUCCUCUGCUUCUGUCCACCAGAGAGUUGUACACCACGCUCUCCCACCUGGGUGUUGUAUCCGUUAGGAAGCAAGGUAAUAAAGAUAUGUGCAUUGGAAGCGCAGGUAGCCGCCUCAACUUCAGCCAUGGUUGCAUC
rnacentral:misc_RNA from 1 species